rfam:Xenorhabdus nematophila ATCC 19061 chromosome, complete genome
AAAGUCCCGUCGUAGAAGGUAAACCAGACCACUACGUAGCGAGUCUUGCAUCUCCGGCGGUAACAAAGGAGAUGAAGCGUAGACAGAGAAAUGUUCGAGCCGAAACCGAUGGGUGAACGUGAUAACUCCGAAAUUCGCUAAUUGUGUUGUGCCGAUGGUAUCGUCGAACCAGCAGGCAAUAAGCUUCUGGAUGGGCCACUGGUAAAGUAAGAAGGACACACCGGAGUCUCAGGCGU